rnacentral:rRNA from 1 species
CGGAUGAACGCUGGCGGCGUGCUUAACACAUGCAAGUCGAGCGAAGCACUUUGGAAAGAUUUUUUGGAUGAUUUCCUUUGUGAAUGAGCGGCGGACGGGUGAGUAACGCGUGGGUAACCUGCCUCAUACAGGGGGAUAACAGUUAGAAAAGAAUGCUAAUACCGCAUAAGACCCCGGUACCGCAUGGUACAGUGGUAAAAAAUCCGGUGGUAUGAGAAGGACCCGCGUUUGAUUAGGUAGUUGGUGGGGGAACGGCCUACCAAGUUUACGAUCAGUAGCCGGACUGAGAGGUUGAACGGCCCCCUUGGGAAUGAGAUACGGCCCCGACUCCUACGGGAGGCAGCAGUGGGGAAUAUUGCACAAUGGGGGAAACCCUGAUGCAGCAACGCCGCGUGAAGGAAGACGGUUUUCGGAUUGUAAAAUUCUUUUUUUAGUGACGAAGACAGUGACGGUAGAUAAGGAAUAAGCAUUGGCUAAAUACGUG